UACGAAGGGGGCUAGCGUUGCUCGGAAUCACUGGGCGUAAAGCGCACGUAGGCGGCUUCUUAAGUCAGGGGUGAAAUCCUGGAGCUCAACUCCAGAACUGCCUUUGAUACUGAGGAGCUCGAGUCCGGGAGAGGUGAGUGGAACUCCGAGUGUAGAGGUGAAAUUCGUAGAUAUUCGGAAGAACACCAGUGGCGAAGGCGGUCAACUGGCCCUGAACUGACGCUCAGG
rnacentral:rRNA from 1 species